CUUGGACCCGGCCUGUUUGAAGCGUCGGGUGGCUAUCCCGGCCGCCGAUCCGCCGGGAAACC
rnacentral:ncRNA from 18 species